ensembl:lncRNA
CAAAUUGGGCUUUUUCGCCCCAAAAAUGACAUAGAUUCGCCCCAAUCCUCCCCAAAAUCCCAACGUGGGACCCCAAAUCUCUAAAUUUGACCAUAAAACCCCAAAAUUGACCCCAAACCCCAAAGCUUCAACCCAAAUCCCCCCUAAACCCCCCGUCCCUCCCAAAAGAACCCCAGAAAACCCCAAAUUGGGCUUUUUCACCCCAAAAGUGCCAUAGAUUUGCUCCAAUCCCCCCCAAAAUCCCGAUGUUGGACCCCAAAAUCCCAAAUGACCCCAGAAAUGACCCAAACUUGUACUUUUUCACCCCAAAACUUGCUUCAGGUUCGCCCCGAUACCUCCAAAGCCCCCCAGAUUGACCCAAAACCCCAAAGUCUCACCCCAAAAUCCCCCCAAAUAACCCCCAAAUUGACCCAAAACCCCAAAGUCUCAC